AAACGCCGGCACUAAGCAGUUAUUUCACUCAGAGACGUAGUACAAAACAAAUAUGGAGGAAAUUUAUUUGAUUUUCGCAGACAAGAGAUUUGAUGGCCUUCGUCAGCUGCGGCCAGUGCUGCCAGACUAAAAUGCUUUUUCUAGAAUCGGCCACUGUUCUCGUUGAACUCCUCGAAGAUUUCAAUAUGCGACGUAAUCUACAGACAGCGUGUCGCGAUUCCGAUCCAGUGGUAGAUCCAGCGAAGCACUGCUUUUGCUAGAGCAAAUGUCAAAAUGAUCUAAAUUAAAGUCAAAAUAGUCGCUCAAGGCUAUUAGCAAAAAGUUGUAGGCAAAACAAGCGCCUAAAAAUUGUCCAAAGUUAAUUUGAAAUUUGUCUUGGUGUCAUUUUCCAAUUUUUCAUAAGCUGGUAACAUUAAAACACGUUCCAAAGAUUUGCUAUAAGACGAAUGCAAAUUUUCACAUACAAUAUUUAUUCUUCACUUUAACUAGAUCAUUUUCCAUAUAGCCAUCCUGUUGUCGGAUAUGCAAAUGUUUCUCAAACAUGGAGUUAAUAAAAUAGUAACUCUAUGUUCUCAAAUUAAUGGUAUAAAAUGUUUUGUUGUCAGAUAACAAAGCAAUUGUGACAAAAAUUAUAGUAUAAUAAAGUAGGUAUAAUCAUUUUAUUUUAAUUAUUUUCAACACCGUCGUUCGAGGAUCGAGGAGGUUUUACUUUUUUGUAUGCAGACAACUAAAGACAUCAUUAUUGUAAACACUUAGGUAAUUACAUAGUCAUGUUACUU